AUGCAGUCGAGCGAACAGACGAGGAGCUUGCUCCUCUGACGUUAGCGGCGGACGGGUGAGUAACACGUGGAUAACCUACCUAUAAGACUGGGAUAACUUCGGGAAACCGGAGCUAAUACCGGAUAAUAUAUUGAACCGCAUGGUUCAAUAGUGAAAGACGGUUUUGCUGUCACUUAUAGAUGGAUCCGCGCCGCAUUAGCUAGUUGGUAAGGUAACGGCUUACCAAGGCAACGAUGCGUAGCCGACCUGAGAGGGUGAUCGGCCACACUGGAACUGAGACACGGUCCAGACUCCUACGGGAGGCAGCAGUAGGGAAUCUUCCGCAAUGGGCGAAAGCCUGACGGAGCAACGCCGCGUGAGUGAUGAAGGUCUUCGGAUCGUAAAACUCUGUUAUUAGGGAAGAACAAAUGUGUAAGUAACUAUGCACGUCUUGACGGUACCUAAUCAGAAAGCCACGGCUAACUACGUGCCAGCAGCCGCGGUAAUACGUAGGUGGCAAGCGUUAUCCGGAAUUAUUGGGCGUAAAGCGCGCGUAGGUGGUUUUUUAAGUCUGAUGUGAAAGCCCACGGCUCAACCGUGGAGGGUCAUUGGAAACUGGAAAACUUGAGUGCAGAAGAGGAAAGUGGAAUUCCAUGUGUAGCGGUGAAAUGCGCAGAGAUAUGGAGGAACACCAGUGGCGAAGGCGACUUUCUGGUCUGUAACUGACGCUGAUGUGCGAAAGCGUGGGGAUCAAACAGGAUUAGAUACCCUGGUAGUCCACGCCGUAAACGAUGAGUGCUAAGUGUUAGGGGGUUUCCGCCCCUUAGUGCUGCAGCUAACGCAUUAAGCACUCCGCCUGGGGAGUACGACCGCAAGGUUGAAACUCAAAGGAAUUGACGGGGACCCGCACAAGCGG
rnacentral:rRNA from 1 species